rnacentral:rRNA from 1 species
GGGCCCGCACAAGCGGUGGAGCAUGUGGUUUAAUUCGAUGAUACGCGAGGAACCUUACCAGGGCUUAAAUGUAAGUUGCAUUAGUUAGAGAUAGCUAUUUCUUCGGACCACUUACAAGGUGCUGCAUGGUUGUCGUCAGCUCGUGCCGUGAGGUGUCAGGUUAAGUCCUAUAACGAGCGCAACCCCUGUCGUUAGUUACCAGCAAUUAAAGUUGGGUACUCUAGCGAGACUGCCGGUGCAAACCGUGAGGAAGGUGGGGAUGACGUCAAGUCCUCAUGGCCCUUACAGGCUGGGCUACACACGUGCUACAAUGGCGAUGACAGUGGGCAGCGACCCCGCAAGGGUGAGCUAA